rnacentral:rRNA from 1 species
CGCGAAUGGCUCAUUACAACAGCUAAAAUCUACUUGAUCUUGACACAAUCCUACUUGGAUAACUGUGGUAAUUCUAGAGCUAAUACAUGCAUUAAAGCUCUGACCUCACGGGACGAGUGCAUUUAUUAGAACAAAACCAAGCGGCUUCAGCUGUUUUCGGUUGACUCAUAGUAACUGAGCUGAUCGCAUGGUCUUGCACCGGCGACGUGUCUUUCGAGUAUCUGCCGUAUCAACUUUCGAUGGUAGUGUAUCUGACUACCAUGGUGAUCACGCGUAACGGAGAAUAAGGGUUCGACUCCGGAGAGUUCGCCUGAGAAAUCGCGAACACAUCUAAGGAAGGCAGCAGGCGCGAAAAUUACCCACUCUCAGCACGAGGAGGUAGUGACGAAAAAUAACGAGACCGUUCUCUUAUGAGGCCGGUCAUCGGAAUGGGUACAAUUUAAACCCUUUAACGAGUAUCUAUGAGAGGGCAAGUCUGGUGCCAGCAGCCGCGGUAAUUCCAGCU